rnacentral:rRNA from 1 species
GUCGAACGAAUCCCUUGGGGCUUGCUCCAAGGGGGAAGUGGCGAAAGGGGCAGUAAGGCAUGGGUAACCUACCCCGGGGACGAGGAUAGCCUUCCUAACGGAAGGGUAAUACUUGGCGAUCUGGCGAUGAGGCAUCUCGUUGCCAGGAAAUGAAUUUCGCCUCGGGAGGGGCUCAUGUAGUAUUAGCUGGUUGGUGGGGUAACGGCCUACCAAGGCGAAGAUGCUUAGCGGGUGUGAGAGCACGACCCGCGCCACUGGCACUGAGACACUGGCCAGACUCCUACGGGAGGCUGCAGUCGAGGAUCUUCGGCAAUGGGCGCAAGCCUGACCGAGCGACGCCGCGUGUGCGAUGAAGGCCUUCGGGUUGUAAAGCACUGUCGAGGGGAAGAAAGCCGCAAGGUUGAUCGACCCCUGGAGGAAGCACGGGCUAAGUUCGUGCCAGCAGCCGCGGUAAGACGAACCGUGCGAACGUUGUUCGGAUUCACUGGGCUUAAAGGGCGCGUAGGCGGGUGAUCAAGUCAGGGGUGAAAUCUUUCGGCUCAACCGGAAAAGUGCCUUUGAUACUGGUCAUCUCGAGGGAGGUAGGGGCAUGUGGAACUUCCGGUGGAGCGGUGAAAUGCGUAGAUAUCGGAAGGAACGCCGGUGGCGAAAGCGACGUGCUGGA